rnacentral:rRNA from 1 species
GAGUGGAUGACGGGAGCUUGCUCCUUGAUUCAGCGGCGGACGGGUGAGUAAUGCCUAGGAAUCUGCCUGGUAGUGGGGGACAACGUUUCGAAAGGAACGCUAAUACCGCAUACGUCCUACGGGAGAAAGCAGGGGACCUUUGGGCCUUGCGCUAUCAGAUGAGCCUAGGUCGGAUUAGCUAGUUGGUGGGGUAAUGGCUCACCAAGGCGACGAUCCGUAACUGGUCUGAGAGGAUGAUCAGUCACACUGGAACUGAGACACGGUCCAGACUCCUACGGGAGGCAGCAGUGGGGAAUAUUGGACAAUGGGCGAAAGCCUGAUCCAGCCAUGCCGCGUGUGUGAAGAAGGUCUUCGGAUUGUAAAGCACUUUAAGUUGGGAGGAAGGGCAGUAAGUUAAUACCUUGCUGUUUUGACGUUACCGACAGAAUAAGCACCGGCUAACUCUGUG